AUGCUUAGCUCAGUUGGUUAGAGCACCUGCCUUACAAGCAGGGGGUCAUAGGUUCGAGUCCUAUAGCGUCC
rnacentral:tRNA from 1 species